rnacentral:tRNA from 6 species
GGAAAAAUAGUAUAAAUAAAUAAUACAUGCUAUUAAGGCUAUACAGCUAAUAAUAGUAUAUUUGGAUGUAAUUUCCAAUUUUUCCA